GUAGAUGAUAUUAUUUGUUUCAGAAGUAGCCACUUGGAGCAGAUACUUGUUGAUUUGUAGUAGAUUUCAAAAGCGCGUCAAAGGAAUUCGAGCAGAAUUCUUUUGAGACAGUAAUUCGAUCACCUGUAACACUUACUGUUUACUGCUGUUUUGCCGACUUGGAGAUGUAUUUUGUCUAGUAGAAGCUCGAACCACCAUUGUCCAGUAUUCCCCAGUUGAUUUCCUUGCUAUUCCAUCAUCCUUAGAUUUAACAUCCUUUGAUCCAGUAACAUAUCCAGCAGUUUCCCCGUUACUGCUGAAAUUUUCAGCUUGCAAAGCAAUCUCACGAUCCUCCUUGUCACUUUUAGGUUCAGCAGCUGCUUGUGAAUCUUCCUUUUGCACAACCUGCUCGCUUCCGUCCUUCAAAAGAGCUAUUUGUGCACCAGUAGUAGAUUGAUUAGCAAUUAGCUGAGUAACAUCCUAUUGAUUUAUCAGUUGUUUUACCCAAUGUAACAAUAGGUCGAUCACCAUCUGUUGCACCAGCUUUUGCCUUCUCAUGUGCAAACUGUUGUACAUUAGUUUGCCCCUGUCCUUUUUGUCCAGCACUUGGACCUGUAGCAACACCAGCCUGCUCGUUAACCUCCACUUGUCGCUGCACCUCGACUUUAGAUUUCUAAAGAUUUUGCACAUCCUCCGACUUCUUUUGAUUAUUCCUCAUAAGCACAACAUUGUCCAUAGCGACUAGACAUGAGUUACUCUGCCCAGCAACAGCUACAUCCUAUGAAAAUCUAGCAAAAGCUGUUUCAAUAGGAACUAUAGCAGUAUUAGCGACAGUUGCUACAUGUGAUGUCUUAAACGGAUUUUCAGCAUACUCAUGAUCCCCCUGAUGUGAUUUUGAAGCCUGUGUAGCAGCUGCAGGAUUAAUCUGCUCUCCAACCCUUCCAUCACCUUCUUUCAAAGCCCUCUUCUCCUUCAAAAAUAGACGCAAAUCACCACUGUAUUUUUUCCCAACAGCCUGUUCAUGACAGCGCUAUAUAUGUUGAUGUUGAAUUGAUGUUUUUAAUCAUCUCUCCCAUAACUUGAAGCUGGAGAGAGGGAUGUGCAUCUUAGAAAUUCCUCUUUCUUUUGUGAUGCAUCAGGAUGAAGAAUUUUGAAGGCAACAGGGGUAUGAUCAAGGUUGCCUUUGUAAACUUUCCCAUAGCCCCCUUCGCCAAUCAUCUUUGAGUCAGAAAAAAAAUCAGUAGCCACCUCAAUCUCUUCUUUGCUUUAGCUGCUGUUUUCCUUAGGCUUUCUUCUCUUUUCUGGGCUGCAUUCACUCUUCUUGCUUCUUCAAGGCAUUCAGAAGAAGUAGCUGGACCUGAAAGAUAGCUAGAGGGUUACGUUCAGAUAUGGUUGGUAACCGUGGAAGUGUUUAGAUGGUUCAAAAAAAAUCUUGAUUAUAAAUGUAGGAUACAACUAUUUUUUUUCUUUGUUGACUUUUAUGGAACUUUUCAUUUGGUGAAAGAUUUUUCCAGCUAUGGGGCUAAUAUUUCUCUUCUGGAUACUUGUUAUCCCAUCAGUUGCUUUAUUCUUUAUUUUUGGAGGCUUGAGGGGGUAAGAAAUUCCCUUGUCCUUGUGAUUAUAAAAUAAUUUUUAGAGCCUAUAAAGGAAGUUUUUGCAAAUAUGCUGUGGUGAAUUCAGUUAUGGUUGUCCCAAGGUGUAAAUUUAUCCACCGGUUUGUAGAGGAAAACAUGAUAAUAUGCAGAAGUUUGGCAACAAAAUAAUGUCGGUACUUGGGAAAAAAAUCAGUUCUGUUUAUUGGAAACUUCAUAUUAAAAUGGUUAUGAUCAUUGUCACUGAAAAAUCUAUUGACAUUCUUGGCUAAAUUUUGAGGUAUGUUAAACUUUUAUUUAAUCUUACUUGACUUGUUAAAACUUAUUUUAGUGUUCGAUCUAUCUUGACUUGUAAGUGAUGUGUAAUAAUAUUUUUUUGACAGUCUGAACUUCAGAAUCGCCAAAGUUCUGGAGAAACAGCGGAUGAUGCAUUUAGGGCUGUAUUUGGAAAGGAGCAGCCUGGUCGGGUUAGAUGCUAUGGUAGAUCGGUGACGACAAGCUCCCUGAAAAAAGAUGAAAUCACCAAGCUUAAACAAAAGCAUGCCAAUGAAAUAAGUUCUCUGAAGGAAGAAAUGAAGGAAAUGAUGAGGGAAGAAAUGCGAUGUUUUUUUAGUCAAUUGGUGAAAAAUAACCCUGGACUAGAUUUUCAUGAUAUACAAGGGUGUGUUGGAUCUAAUAUUCCUUCACCGGUUGAUGCAAGUUGUGCACGAGCUAUGAGAGGCAAAAAUCUACAACAUUCUUCUGGCUCAACUCAUGCCCCGAGUAUUGAAAAGGAAAAUACGGAUGAUGCAAUUGGAAAUGGUGGCCACAAAUCAAUUUGAAUCAUUAAAGUGAAUGGUGAAGGCCUUUUGAACAAGAUGUUUAUUUUUGUUGACACUAUAAAUAUAAGUACAUUUGGUUUUGUAGAGGUCUUUGCUAGUGAACUUUAUUACUAUAGAUAGUACACAAAGUGUGUUUCUUUUGUUGAAAUUUAUUUCAAGUAUAUGCAUUUGAAUUAUUUUUAUUCUA